rnacentral:rRNA from 1 species
CAGCUAGUUGGUAGGGUAACGGCCUACCAAGGCGACGAUCCGUAGCUGGUCUGAGAGGACGAUCAGCCACACUGGGACUGAGACACGGCCCAGACUCCUACGGGAGGCAGCAGUGGGGAAUAUUGGACAAUGGGGGCAACCCUGAUCCAGCAAUGCCGCGUGUGUGAAGAAGGCCUGCGGGUUGUAAAGCACUUUCAGUAGGGAAGAAAAGCCCGGGGCGAAUAUCCCCGGGUCUUGACGUUACCUAAAGAAGAAGCACCGGCUAACUCCGUGCCAGCAGCCGCGGUAAUACGGAGGGUGCGAGCGUUAAUCGGAAUUACUGGGCGUAAAGCGCACGUAGGCGGUUGGGUAAGUCGGAUGUGAAAGCCCUGGGCUUAACCUGGGAACUGCAUUCGAUACUGCCCGGCUAGAGUAUGGGAGAGGGAAGCGGAAUUUCCGGUGUAGCGGUGAAAUGCGUAGAUAUCGGAAGGAACACCAAUGGCGAAGGCAGCUUCCUGGCCCAAUACUGACGCUCAGGUGCGAAAGCGUGGGGAUCAAACAGGAUUAGAUACCCUGGUAGUCCACGCUGUAAACGAUGAGAACUAGA